rnacentral:rRNA from 1 species
UACGGGGGGGGCAAGCGUUGUUCGGAAUUACUGGGCGUAAAGGGCUCGUAGGUGGCCAACUAAGUCAGACGUGAAAUCCCUCGGCUUAACUGGGGAACUGCGUCUGAGACUGGCGAGCUUGAGGGCAGGAGAGGAACGCGGAAUUCCAGGUGUAGCGGUGAAAUGCGUAGAUAUCUGGAGGAACACCGGUGGCGAAGGCGGCGUUCUGGACUGCAUCUGACACUGAAAGACGAAAGCCAGGGGAGCAAACGGG